rnacentral:tRNA from 1 species
GAGGGUAUAACUGAGUGGUAGAACACAUGCUUAGCAUGCAUGAGGUCCUGGGUUCGAUCCCCAGUACCUCUG